rnacentral:rRNA from 1 species
UAGUCAUAUGCUUGUCUCAAAGAUUAAGCCAUGCAUGUGUGAGUACAGGCCGCUUUAAGGCGAAACCGCGAAUGGCUCAUUAAAUCAGUUAUGAUUCAUUUGAUGGAAAGCUAUUACUCGGAUAACCGUGGUAAUUCUAGAGCUAAUACGUGAGAUGUAAACUCCGACUGGAAGGGAGGAGUGCUUUUAUUAGUUUACAACCAAGCGGGCCUCGGUCCGUUAACUUACUUGUGAUGACUCUGAAUAACUUUGUGCAGAGAGCACGGUCUCCGCACCGGCUCUGUAUCUUUCUAGUUUCUGCCUUAUCAUGCUGUGGAUUGUAGGCCAUGCGCCUACAGUGGCUGUUACGGGUGACGGAGAAUCAGGGUUCGAUUCCGGAGAGGGAGCCUGAGAAACGGCUACCACAUCCAAGGAAGGCAGCAGGCACGCAAAUUACCCAAUCCCAGCUCUGGGAGGUAGUGACGAAAAAUAACAAUGCGGGACUCUUCCGAGUCUGCGUAAUUGGAAUGAGCACACUUUAAAUCCUUUAGCAACAACCAAUU